rnacentral:rRNA from 1 species
GACGAACGCUGGCGGCGUGCCUAAUACAUGCAAGUCGAGCGCGAAAGUUCUUCGGAAUGAGUAAAGCGGCGGACGGGUGAGUAAUACAUGGGAAUCUGCCUGGUAGUGGGGGACAACGUUUCGAAAGGAACGCUAAUACCGCAUACGCCCUACGGGGAAAGGGGGGAGUCGCAAGACCUCUCGCUAUCAGAUGAGCCCAU